UGGUGGAGUGAUUUGUCUGGUUAAUUCCGUUAACGAACGAGACCUUAACCUGCUAACUAGUUGCCCUAAGUACCCUUGGGGUGAACUUCUUAGAGGGACUUUAUGUUCAAGCAUAAGGAAGUUUGAGGCAAUAACA
rnacentral:rRNA from 1 species